UGCAUCUAUACCUGUAUGCCUGAAGA
rnacentral:piRNA from 1 species